GAGAUUGCUAUAAAAAUCCCGGGUUGACACAGCGAUGAGUUCUUGAUCCUGCCAUGCUCUCGUUGAUUUCACAAUCAACACCGGGAAAAAGCGAAAAGAGCCAAUGGCAGAAUCCAUUAGGGUCAGGGUUCCACCACAAUUACCAUCACCUAACCCUAAAAUCUGCUGCAAUCGCGCAACAAAUUGUUGCUCGGCGCCAUUAAUUCUCGCAAAUCUUGCCAAUUUCACCAAGAGUGCAGCGCCGGCUAGGUUCAUAUACUUCAAUCACGAUGGAUUGUGGAUUGAUUUUGAAAACGAGGUUUUGGAGUCUCUCAAGCCUGCUUUCUUGGACGGCAAGGCGGUGAUUGAAAUGUCGUUUCGUGAGUCAAGGUAUCUGUUUGAUUUUACGCGUAUGUUGCAAAUUGAUUUUGAUUCAGGGAUUCAAAGAUCAAUUGCGUGGAUUGAUGUGAACGGGAAAUGCUUUUUUCCUAAAAUGUUUGUGCGUGAAGAUUCUGGGGAUAAUCUAGAGGAGGAGAGAUUGAGUAAUCGUAAAAUUGAAAUCGAAGUCAAUAUUGAUGGAAAUUCAAUUAAGCGAAAAAGAGAGGAAUUUCGUGACAAAGAAGAGCCCGAGGUUACUUCGUCGAAGAAAGAAGAGGAUGGAUUGAAACGGCAGCGUUUGGGGAUGCGUGAUGUGGGAAAUUGUAGGUGGUUGAAUACGAGGGUAUUUAAAGAAGAAGAGAAGAGUUAUUCACCUGUGAAGAAUUAUUUUUUGUCCGGUAUGAAGAAAAUUGAUCCUGAUGUUGUGAUCACGGCAAUCCAUCAAUGCACGCGUAAGGGUCUUUCGGGGGAGGCUCGUCAAGAGGUCUUUUUAAAGCAGAUUGAGAUUACAAAGGCAGCCAGGGGUGUUUCGAAUACAGUGUAUGCUUGGUAUGGCGCGCCUGCGAAGGAAGUCGAAAGUAUCCUGGCUCAUGGUUUCGGUGGACCUCGUAAGGUUUCUGCUGGUGAAACUUAUGGUGUUGGUGUAUAUUUGUCUCCUUUUGGAUUGCCUCAUAUGAGUGCCAAGUUUGCAGAGGCAGAUGAUAACGGCGAAAAACACAUUAUACUUUGUAGAGUUAUAUUAGGUAAUGUUGAGACAGUAGUGGCAGGGUCUCAACAGUAUUAUCCUUCUAGUAUUGAUUUUGAUACUGGCACUGAUGAUCCCAAGAAUCCCAAGUGGUAUGUUGUUUGGUCGAGUGUUAUGAACAGACAUAUUAUCCCUGAGUGUGUUGUGAGCUUCAAAUCUUCUAUUAACGUGCCAGGUCAAGUGAGAGGAUCGACUCAUACAAAGUAUUCCCUUGAGAAAUUGUUUUCAAAAUUAAGGAGUUGGCUUCCUCCUGAAAAAAUUCAGGAAGUGGCCAAACUAUAUGAUGUGUAUAGGGCUGGCAAGUUGACCAAAAAUAUUUUCAUACGGCAUUUGCGAGGUGUGGCAGGGGAUUAUGUUCUGUUAUCUGCUAUUCGGGAGAUUCGUAGUUCAGAAUAAGUGAAUUACAGCCUGCUAUUAUCUUCGCUCAGCGUAUGAAGAUUCAGAUGAACUUUGCAUUUGGUUCCGUGAGUCUUUUGUUAAGAAGGAGAGAUGCUCUGAAGCAUAAAGUGUUUAUGCAAUUUUUGCUCCUUCAGGUUUGCAUAUUCUUGCUCCUGCUUGCGAAGGAAAUAUUGGAUCUUGCACAGAUCAUGAGAAAGGCCAGGAUGGAUUGUCCAGUUUUGCCUGUCUUUGAUUCAUGUAUCAGUGUUCCUGUUUUGUUCUGGUAACUAGAUUCUUGUUCAUCCAUAGCCACUGGUUGAUAAUGGUUUUAACUGUAUUUUCAUGCUUUGCGUGUGAUAAAUGCUUCCUUUUAUAUAUGAGCAUUUCUUCAUUUUCUCCAAAGUUUCAUAUAUUGGAGAUGUUGUGCUUAAUGUUCAAAGUUUAGUGUGUUUCCAGAGAAUCAGAUAACUUCAAAGCAGGAAUUGCUGCUAAUGGCACUUAUCGUGGUUUAUGCUUCUAGUUAGGUGCCAGAAAAAAUCACAGCUGGUUGCUGGGAUGAAAUGUUUCUUUUACACAUUAAUGCAACUCUGUUGACCUUGAAGAGUUUCUUUCAGUUUUUUGUUUUAUUAGGUUGCAUUUAGGACUACAGUAUAUGAUUCAUACAAACAUAAUGCAUUUUUUAAUUAAAUGGAGUUAGCAAGGGUUAGGUGUUGUCCAUACGAAUCAAGAGGAAUUAAUCUCAGUUGUUUCUUGCAUCUUGUACUGUUGUUUGUUGUGCUAUCGUGUUCCACUUCUAUGAGAUUUUAUUAUCUCAUUGGCAAUACUUAUACACACUUCUUAUAUCUAGUUGUCUUUUAUUCUUCUACUGGAACUAGGAGAUAUGAAAUGAUUUCUGGUCCAUUUACCUGUGGUAGUCUUAGAGGAAGUUAGGAAAACUUUGCAAACAUGAUACAAUUAAGAGACUUCAUUGAGUGUUUUGUAUGAGGUAACAUUACUGCAUGAUCUGUUUUUCAAUAUCUGUAAAAUCCUGAGUGCAUACACAACUUCAACUCUGUAAAAUUUGUUUCACAAGCUGUACUGUAUUUCAUAUAUUUUAUCCCUGUUUCUGUUUUUUGUAUAUGCCAGUUAUUCAUCUUGACAUUAAAGGGUCUCGAUUGUAUACUAAGGGAUGGACUCCAUCUUCUGUUAUAUAUGUUUUCUGUAGUUUCAAGAACUGGAUCGGUAGGAACACUAAAUCCUUUACCAAUUUUUUGUAGUUGCAUCGACUAUACCCUUUGUUAGGUGAUUACUGAUGUAUCUAGGUGGAUUGGUGAUAAAUUACCUGGAAUGGUAAAGUUAAGUGGAGUUUUCCUUUUCCAUCCCUUCAUUAUCCCUAUCUCUACAUAUGCUGCUUUUGCCGACAAGAAUGCUCAGGCUCUUUCUCAAUGAGCAUUCAGAUGCACUCCAUGAUAGGAACACACAUAUAUGAUGGACAAGCAUGUGUGUGCUCUGUAUCCAAACAUUGGAUGUAGGUUUCAUGCUGCAUGGUUUGUGCAGGAGAGAAGUCUUGAACCAUCUUCCACAAUUGUUCAUUGGAUAAAAUAUGUCACAUGGUUUGGAUCAUCAAGGUCCAUUGUUGGGAACUGACACAGAUACAUUCUCCUGAUUACUUAAGAAACUUGACCUCCGCUUGUUCCACCGCUUGUUCUUCUGGAGUUUGUCAACCAUGGUGUAUAGUUGUACUUCAUGUAGGUUCUUAUGUUAGUUUGAUGAUCUUAGGAACCAGCUUACCCUGCUUUUGCUAUUGCUUUCUUUGUUCUAGGGGGAUUUGUGUUUAAAGUAUAUAUUGUUGGGAGACCAUGAAGGUGGCGAGGCCUUUCUCAUUACCUAUGAGCUUUUGAACAUUGCUGGCAUGUCCCGGUUUCCACUUGUUUCUUGCACUGCCACUUCUGCAGAUAAUGCUAAUUUGAACCCUGGUGUUGCUGGUAAGUUGUCAUUCAUGACUUCUUUUUGUUAACUUCUGCAAGGCUUUUCUUAUCAGCUUGUGAAGCUAGUUACAAGCAUAAAUUUGCAAUUUGUUGUUGAUACUGAGAGCAAAUAAAUCAUAUUAUUGGGUGGUUUUGAUGGAAUGAUCAUUAAAGCCAUGCCUUGUUUCCUGUCACAUUUUCUUUGGUACCUUGUGCAGUAGAUGAUUCCCCAGGAUAAUUUCUAGAUCCAAAGCUAGUGGGAGAGUUGAAUGCCAUUGUUUCUCCUCUUUAAACCUUAAACUGUGAAUAAGAUGGAUUUGUUCCCGUCAUCAUUGGUGCCAUUGAACUGUAUUCAACAAUUGAGAGCCUAACGUCCUGCAGAGCUUCCUCCACGACCAUUGCUUGAGAAACUCGCAAGGGAACUUCAUCGUUGACAACCAUCUUCAUAUUUUCUUUCUUUUUUCAUCAGUAUAAAUGUUAUUAUCUCCUGCUUGUUUUUACAUUGUUAAAUACAUGGAGGGUCUCCGGCUGUUCAAUCUUGAUAUUAUCCGAGAGAAUUGGACCAGAGAUCUGUCGUCAACAUUAACUACUUCCCCGGCAAGACAACAUUUUAUUUUCUUUUGUGUUGUCUUUUCCAUCCAAAUUUGUUUUCAAUCACUCUUUGAACGGUGUUUAACAUUUUCAAAAAUCUAAAAUGCACUUUUUUCUGCUGAGGCCUUGUGCUCCUUUGUGUUAUACGUGUGUUUUAUUGCUAUAUCUUGAAAAUUUGCCCCACGGUUUCGUUUAUUGUAUCUUAACAGGGAAACGUGGCAGGUUACGGGAAAAUGCCAAGCAGCAUGACUGCAUGAGCAUAUAAUUACAGACUUCGUUCCGAGCCUUGUACAGAAUCCAUACAAGAAAAAAUCCACCUAGAAACUGUUUGAAGCGUGAUUGACUUGACAUAAAAGUUGUCUCAAAAGCAUCAUGUUGUCUGAGAAAGCAUGUGCAGGGGGCUUGCUAAGUGCCUUGAAUAGCAUAAUUAAUGCCUGCUAGCAGCUGGAGGAUACAAGUAAUCCCAACCUUCAACUUCUGUGAUUACUGGCUGGCUGGCUGGCAGGAUGCGUGUCUGCUGCGCAACUCGUGAGCAACAAUCGAUGGCUAUCAGCUCCCUUGAAUUCAGCUGGCUUUGCCCAACUCGUUAUGUUAUCUCGCCAUUAUCUUGUGUUGUUCAAAGGUGCCAUGCGCAGCUGGUGAAUAGCAACCUCAUGAUGUGUACAGUCAUUUCUCUUGGGAUAGUAUCCCGCUUGACUAGUCGAGCAGUUCAUAGAAUAAUGUUGCCUUGUUUUUGACAAAUAAGUUCCGUUGCGUACACAUAGUUAUCGAUUCUUAGCGAUUUUUCAUUAUAUAAAAAUAAAAGGUUAAACACUGA